GUGCUCACUUCAGCAGCACAUACACGAAAACUGUAAUGAUACAGAGAAGAUUAGCAUGGUCUCUGAACAAGGAUGACGUGUACGUUCAUCAAGGCUCUCAUAUUUUU